rnacentral:lncRNA from 1 species
GGGCUGUUCGGCCAAGCGCCCGCCGGACAUGGGACGCUGGAGGGUCAGCGGCGUGAAGUCCUCGCCUUCAGCGUCCACGGCUGGGAAAUUGGCUAUCGCCACGGCGGGAACUAGGACUCUGGCUGCGUCCCGGCCCUUCCUCAUCAGUCCACCGGACUCUUGGGCGCGCGCACUGGCGCGGGUGUAGUUUGCUCACCUCUGACCCGUAUUGUCUUGAGAUUAAAGGAAUUGGGAGCUUCUUUUGCUAUUCUUCUAUCUUGGAUGCAUUGGAAGAGCUGCUCCUGGAUCCCGCAGCAGCGAGGAGACCUGAAGACCAGAGGAAACACAGCAAUCCCUGGAUCCUCCUGAAAUCCCCAAUCCCUGUUGCUCCCUCGGGGAGGUUUCUAGUCCCUCUGACUUGAAGCAUGGCUUUCAGAGCCCGGCGCCACCCAGCUUGGGUAUCUGAGACGGGGUUUUGCCAUGUUGCCCAUGCUGGUCUCUAACUCUUGGACUCAAGCGAUCCUCCUGCUUUGGCCCCACAAAAUGCUGGGAUUACAGGCAUGAGCCACGGCACCUGGCCAGGAAUUGUUCAUUUUCUUCAGGUUGGAAUGCAGUGGCACGAUCUCGGCUCACUGCAACCUCUGCCUCCUGGGAUCAAGCAAGAUUGUCCUGCCUCAGCCUCCUGAGUACCCGGGAAUACAGACAGAGUAUCACCCUGUUACCCAGGCUGAAGUGCAGUGGUAAGACCUCGGCUCACUACAACCUCUGCCUCCUAGGUUCAAGAGAUUCUCCUGCCUCAGCCUCCCAAGUAGUUGGGAUUAAACUAAGCUAAACUAUGGGGUUUGGAGGGCUCCUGGAUUAUUGAACACAUAAAGGUUCCUGGAGAGUGGUGCAGCCAGAGAGGGCAUGGAAGCUCUGCACCCCUCCCCCAUCCCUUGUCCUAUGCAUCUCUUCCAUCUGGCUGUUAAUCUACACUCCCUCUAUACCUAUUGACAUACAGUCAACAACAUAAGCAAGAGUCACACACAGUCAAGAAAAACCGUUCACGUGGCUGCAAGUGGCCACACACCUAAUGCUAUCACAAUCAUGCACAACGUCAAACAGCCGGCUAGCGCCACACACACACGCACACACGGAGAUGCGCGCGCACACCCACUUGUGCACAGAGACGCACGCACGCAGACACACGUGCGCACAGAGACGCACACACAGACACGUGCGCACACAGAGACGCAAACACAGACACGUGCACACAGGCAAACAGACGCGCAGAGACGCACACACAGACACACGUGUGCACACAGGCAAACAGACAAGUGCCAGAGACGCACACACAGACACACGUGUGCACAGAGAUGCAAACGCAGACACACGCGUGCACACAGUGACGCGCGCACACACAGACACACGGGCGCGCACAGGUCUCGCCCGCGCCAGCUCCGACUCCAGCAGCCUUGGAGUUCCCGCCCAGCCCCGGGCUCCUGGCUCCCUCACCGACUGCAUCUCGCGGGGCGAUCCCGGUCGGGUUCCGCCUGAGCCAAGGCCCCGCACCCAAACCGCGACAGCGGACCCAGAAGCCCGAAGCCCGCAACCCGGCGAAGGAACCCGGACUCAGAGUAGCCUCCGGCACAGAGCCCUCCAAGAAAAGCAGCCCGGGACCCCGACAACCGUGGACAGAGCCGGGGGGGCCAUAAACCCAAACUAGGCAACUCGAGGCAUCAUCAACGGAGGGUCCUUAAGAGACCCUGCACCCAAUCACCCAGGCACCAGGGACUCUGCCAAAGCACGAAUUCGGGCAGGUGGUAGCCUCGAGGCUGGGAGGCUGCAUCACAAGCCGCCUCCUAGAUGCGCGGUGGACCCUGGGAAAUGUAGUCCAGCGCAAGCCACCACCUAGAUGCGCCGUGGACCCUGGGAAAGGUAGUCCAGCGCCAGUCGCCGCCUGGAUGCGCGGUGGACCGUGGGAAAUGUGAUCCGGGUUUUCUGCGCGGGCGCCUUAGGCGCGGAGCUUUCGGGGUUGCAGUGACUGUCCUCCCUUCGAGCCCGCCAGAUCGGAUCCUAGAAUGUCCGGCCGCAGCCCCUUGGCUUAGAACUGGGCCUCUAACGCGGCUGGGGUCAUACACGCCCUCUAGGCGCGGGUUGGUGCACGCGUUGGAAUCUCAGGGGAGGCAGAAAACCCUGCAGCUCUAACCCAGGGAGCUGCCAAAGCGAUUCAGAGGAGCCCGGGGGACGCGUAGCUACAGACCCCGACUCUGCGCAAAUGCAAAUCCAUGGCUCUGGCAAGGGCAGCGAGGCUCGCCGGGUCUGAGGCCGUGGAUCCCUAAACUCAAAAGAAAUAAAACAUCACAUGA